AUUUCUCAUUUGGGAUGCAUUUGUUUCAGCAGAUAUUGUACUGGCUUGUUAAAUUCACCCUUUACAUUAGUAGAUGGCCUUACAGGUUUGAGCCGACUGUGGCGGAAGCAGCUGAGUGCAUGCUUGAUAUCUGUGCACAGGGAGAAGCUCUCCGUUGCCUUAGGCAAUGGACUGGUCUAUGAAAUGCACAGUGACCUGAGUUCUCUGUUCAGCCCUUGAGAGGGGGACAAAGCUGGGCAGAGAUGAACCUCUGAGCCUGACAAGAAAAAGCACCAGCCUUGAUGGGAAUAACCAGAUGAGACUUUGAGCUUUAAAAUACCCUGCCUCAUGAAUAUGCAAAACAUCCGAGCUCCUCUGAUGUAAACAUAAGUAUGUCGGUGCCCUGAGAACAUCACCCAACAACCACAUCCAUCAUCUAAGGAUGCCCCUGGGAGCACAGCUUAUCACCAUGGACUGGACCUGGAGGAUCCUAUUCUUGGUGGCAGCAGCUACAGGUGCCCAGUCCCAGGUCCAGCUGGUGCAGUCUGGGGCUGAGGUGAGGAAGCCUGGAGACUCAGUAAAGGUCUCCUGCAAGGCUUCUGGAUACACCUUCACCAACCACAACGUGGACUGGGUGCGACAGGCCCCUGGACAAGGGCUUGUGUGGAUAGGAGGGAUCAACACUAAUACUGGUGGCACAAGCUGUGCACAGACUUUCCAGGGCAGAGUCACCAUGACGAGGGACACGUCCACAAGCACAGCCUUCAUGGAGCUGAGCUGCCUGAGAUCUGAGGACACAGCCGUGUAUUACUGUGCAAGAGACACAGUGUGAACACCGACAUCCUGAGAGGGUCAGAAACUCCAGGGAGGAAGCAGAUGUGCUGGGCUGAAGAGAAGACAGGGGUUAUUAGAUUGAAGACUUUCUUAGAAAGAGAGGUCAAGUCAUUGAAGAAAAAGAACAAUAAAAUUUGUAUGCACUCCUAAUUAUUUGGGAAA